UGGGGAAUCUUGCGCAAUGGCCGAAAGGCUGACGCAGCGACGCCGCGUGUGGGAUGAAGCUCUUCGGGGUGUAAACCACUGUUGCCCGGGACGAACGGGCGGAUUUAUCCGCCGUGACGGUACCGGGUGAGGAAGCACCGGCUAACUCCGUGCCAGCAGCCGCGGUAAUACGGAGGGUGCGAGCGUUGUCCGGAAUCACUGGGCGUAAAGGGCGCGUAGGCGGCUCGGUAAGCGUGUGGUGAAAGCUCGGGGCUCAACCCCGAGUCGGCCGUGCGAACUGUCGAGCUUGAGCACUGUAGAGGCAGGUGGAAUUCCGGGUGUAGCGGUGGAAUGCGUAGAGAUCCGGAAGAACACCGGUGGCGAAGGCGGCCUGCUGGGCAGUUGCUGACGCUGAGGCGCGACAGCGUGGGGAGCAAACAGG
rnacentral:rRNA from 1 species